rnacentral:rRNA from 1 species
UACGGAGGAUCCGAGCGUUAUCCGGAUUUAUUGGGUUUAAAGGGUGCGCAGGCGGGAGAUUAAGUCGGCGGUGAAAUUUUGCAGCUCAACUGUAAAAGUGCCUUCGAAACUGGUUUCCUUGAGUGUGGAUGAAGUAGGCGGAAUUUGUGGUGUAGCGGUGAAAUGCUUAGAUAUCACGAGGAACUCCGAUUGCGCAGGCAGCUUACUAAACCACUACUGACGCUCAGGCACGAAGGCGUGGGGAUCAAACAGGAUUAGAUACCCCCGUAGUCCCUGA